GACGAACGCUGGCGGCGUGCUUAACACAUGCAAGUCGAACGGAAAGGCCUGCUUUCCCUUGUGGAUUGCGGGUACUCGAGUGGCGAACGGGUGAGUAACACGUGAGUGAUCUGCCCCCAACUUGGGUAUAAGCCUGGGAAAUUGGGUCUAAUUCCCGAUAGGACUGCAGGGUGGUGCCUGUGGUGGAAAACGAUUUUCUAGUGGUUGGGGAUGAGCUCGCGGCCUAUCUGCUUGUUGGUGGGGUAAUGGCCUACCAAGGCGGCGACGGGUAGCCGGCCUGAGAGGGUGGACGGCCACAUUGGGACUGAGAUACGGCCCAGACUCCUACGGGAGGCAGCAGUGGGGAAUAUUGCACAAUGGGCGGAAGCCUGAUGCAGCGACGCCGCGUGGGGGAUGACGGCCUUCGGGUUGUAAACUCCUUUCGACCGCGAGGAAGCCACCUGGUUGGAAGGGUGGUGACGGUAGUGGUAGAAGAAGCACCGGCUAACUACGUG
rnacentral:rRNA from 1 species